AUUGAACGCUGGCGGCAUCCCUUGCACAUGCAAGUCGAGCGGCAGCACGGGUGCUUGCACCUGGUGGCGAGUGGCGAACGGGUGAGUAAUACAUCGGAACAUGUCCUGUAGUGGGGGAUAGCCCGGCGAAAGCCGGAUUAAUACCGCAUACGAUCUACGUAUGAAAUCGUGGGACCUUCGGGCCUCGCGCUAUCGGGUUGGCCGAUGGCUGAUUAGCUAGUUGGUGGGGUGAAGGCCUACCAAGACGACGAUCAGUAGCUGGUCUGAGAGGAUGACCAGCCACACUGGGACUGAGACACGGCCAAGACUACUAAGGGAGGCAGCAGUGGGGAAUGUUGGACAAUGGGCGAAAGCCUGAUCCAGCAAUGCCGCGUGUGUGAAGAAGGCCUUCGGGUUGUAAAGAACGUUUGUCCGGAAAGAAAUCCUUGGCCCUAAUACGGUCGGGGGAUGACGGUACCGGAAGAAUAAGCACCGGCUAACUACGUG
rnacentral:rRNA from 1 species